rnacentral:sRNA from 1 species
AUUUAGCCCUGACAGCAGCGGCACCUUGUAGAGCGGAUGGCAGGAAUAGGG